rnacentral:misc_RNA from 1 species
GAUGAAGAACGUAGCGAAAUGCGAUAAGUAAUGUGAAUUGCAGAAUUCAGUGAAUCAUCGAAUCUUUGAACGCACAUUGCGCCCCUUGGUAUUCCGGGGGGCAUGCCUGUUCGAGCGUCAUUUCAACCCUCAAGCUCUGCUUGGUAUUGGGCUCCGUCCUCCUCGGACGCGCCUCAAAGACCUCGGCGGUGGCGUCUUGCCUCAAGCGUAGUAGAAACACCUCGCUUUGGAGUGCAUGGCGUCGCCCGCCGGACGAAACCUUUUGUAUUUUCUCAAGGUUGACCUCGGAUCAGGUAGGGAUACCCGCUGAACUUAAGCAUAUCAAUAAGCGGAGGA